AGCAGAGUGGCGCUGCGGAAGCGUGCUGGGCCCAUAACCCAGAGGACGGGAUUGAAACCACCCUCUGCUA
rnacentral:tRNA from 1 species